rnacentral:rRNA from 1 species
GAUGAACGCUGGCGGCGUGCUUAACACAUGCAAGUCGAACGAUGAAGCUCAGCUUGCUGGGUGGAUUAGUGGCGAACGGGUGAGUAACACGUGAGUAACCUGCCCUUAACUCUGGGAUAAGCCUGGGAAACUAGGUCUAAUACCGGAUAGGAGCGCCUACCGCAUGGUGGGUGUUGGAAAGAUUUAUCGGUUUUGGAUGGACUCGCGGCCUAUCAGCUUGUUGGUGAGGUAAUGGCUCACCAAGGCGACGACGCGUAGCCGGCCUGAGAGGGUGACCGGCCACACUGGGACUGAGACACGGCCCAGACUCCUACGGGAGGCAGCAGUGGGGAAUAUUGCACAAUGGGCGAAAGCCUGAUGCAGCGACGCCGCGUGAGGGAUGACGGCCUUCGGGUUGUAAACCUCUUUCAGUAGGGAAGAAGCGAAAGUGACGGUACCUGCAGAAGAAGCACCGGCUAACUACGUG